rnacentral:rRNA from 1 species
AUACGUAGGGGGCGAGCGUUGUCCGGAAUCAUUGGGCGUAAAGAGCUCGUAGGCGGUUCAGUAAGUCGGGUGUGAAAGCUCCGAGCUCAACUCGGAGAGGCCACUCGAUACUGCUGUGACUAGAAUCCAGUAGGGGAGUGUGGAACUCCUGGUGUAGCGGUGAAAUGCGCAGAUAUCAGGAAGAACACCAGCGGCGAAGGCGGCACUCUGGGCUGGUAUUGACGCUGAGGAGCGAAAGUGUGGGUAGCAAACAGGAUUAGAUACCCUGGUAGUCCACACCGUAAACGUUGGGCACUAGGUGUGGGGAGGAUCAACCCUUUCCGUGCCGUAGCUAACGCAUUAAGUGCCCCGCCUGGGGAGUACGGCCGCAAGGCUAAA